GCCGGUGUAGCUCAGUGGUAGAGCAUUCGAUUCGUAAUCGAACGGUCAGCGGUUCAAAUCCGCUCAUCGGCU
rfam:Microcoleus chthonoplastes PCC 7420 scf_1103659003791 genomic scaffold, whole genome shotgun sequence.